UCUAAGGACCCUUCAGCUGUGUCAUGGUGU
rnacentral:piRNA from 1 species